rnacentral:rRNA from 1 species
UACGGAGGGGGCUAGCGUUGUUCGGAAUUACUGGGCGUAAAGGGCGCGCAGGCGGCUGCUCAAGUCAGGCGUGAAAGGCCUGGGCUCAACCCGGGAAUUGCGCUUGAGACUGGGCUGGCUUGAGUGCGGGAGAGGAUGGUGGAAUUCCCAGUGUAGAGGUGAAAUUCGUAGAUAUUGGGAAGAACACCGGUGGCGAAGGAGGCCAUCUGGACCGCAAUUGACCAUGAGGCGCGAAAGCGUGGGGAGCAAACAGG